CCUUUGAAAGAAGGAAAUGAAUGUUAUGAAUUUACAAUUUGCCACUCUUCCCAAAUUCCUCCAUUAACCAAAUAUCUUCUUAUGCAUUGUUCUUUCUCCGCAAACUCCAAACAUCACUCUGAGAAUUUCUUUCAAAAAUCGUUUCUUUUCUCCAAUUUGUGCGUCCAUGGCCUCCUCAGUCUCCGUAACUGAGAACGAAACAAAGCCAUUUUCCGUUCUCUGUGUGCCUCAGCAACAUCUGCAGAAGCUCUGUUAUCGAAGGCGUCUUCACUGACUUAGUCAACAAAAAGAGCCUCAAUUUGAUGUUCAUAAUUGCUGGCACCAUCGAUUACCACGAGCAAAUUGUGAAGCGUUUUUCUAUAGAAUUCAAGAGGAAAUUGAGAAAGCUUUGGUGGUGGAAAUGACGGGAUAUAAUAUGAAGGAUUGUGCUGGUUCAUUCAUUUAUAAUACAUCUUCAAUCACAAGUUAUCAUGGAUGAUAAAUUGGUUGGUUUUUGCAGUGAAAGUUAAAAAGUUAUACCAAGCAUCUGCAGUGUAAAAAGGUUUUCAUAGUACAUGGUAUUUAAACUCUAUAGAUUGUUUAAAAAGGUUUUUAACAGAUGGAAAGGAAAACAUUCCUUACAGGAUGAUGCACAUAAAAAGAGGCUAAGUUGAUGUGCUCUUAUUGUAAGAAGCAUGAUGGAAGUGAAGUUUUGGAUCCUAUUAAGGUGGAACGCAAGACUUUGAGAAGGUAAAAAUUCACGUUGGUUAUGGUAGUACUUAUUGGAAAUCCAAGUGAAUCUGAGUCUCACGUCGAAGUAAAAGUAAAAAAGUUAAACAUUAUAUAAAUAUACAUAAAAUUAUUGUCUUGAUGUUUUAGUAUUGAUUUUGGGUUGGAAUAAUUUUGAAUAAUGGUACUACAGAAUCUUUGUUUGAAAAAACUAUUAUAUGAAUAUUGCAUGAUGGGUCUGGUCUCAAAUUGUUGAUAUUUUCAAUGGUAACAAACACUAAUGAACGAACUACAGUAGAACUCUUUACUCUUGGUUGAUGCUUUGGCUAUCAGCAUCAUGUUGGCACUGGCAGGUGUUGGAUUUGCUAGAAGAUGCUUGUGGAUCAUUACUGAAAACCAUUUUGGCAGAAAAUAAACAUGUACAAGAAUCCUAAAACGUGUACAGAAGAUUCAAUCCUGUAGUGAAGUUAUAGAUCCAUUGAUUAUUGGAAAAACAGAUAUCAUAGUAUCUUCUUGUUUCAGUAGUUCACUGUCCUAAAUGCAACGAUUUUUUACAUAUUGUUGGAAACUUUUUGCCAUAGUCAUAUAACAAUUUGAGUCAUAAGUUCGAUUCUCUCUUUGUUUUUCUUCUGGUACCUUCAAUGCUGAAAUUCAGCAGAUUAUAGCAGAUGUAUGUCAUUAAAUUCUUAUAUUGGUGGCUAUUAUGUUGACGUACAUGUUCUUGAAUUCUUA